UACAGAGGGGGCAAGCGUUGUUCGGAAUUACUGGGCGUAAAGGGCGCGUAGGCGGCCUUCUAAGUCGAACGUGAAAUCCCCGGGCUCAACCCGGGAACUGCGUCCGAUACUGGAAGGCUUGAAUCCGGGAGAGGGAUGUGGAAUUCCCGGUGUAGUGGUGAAAUGCGUAGAUAUCGGGAGGAACACCAGUGGCGAAGGCGACUACCUGGCCUGUUUCUUGACGCUGAGGCGCGAAAGCUAGGGGAGCAAACGGG
rnacentral:rRNA from 1 species